GUUAAGCGACUAAGCGUACACGGUGGAUGCCCUGGCAGUCAGAGGCGAUGAAGGACGUGCUAAUCUGCGAUAAGCGUCGGUAAGGUGAUAUGAACCGUUAUAACCGGCGAUUUCCGAAUGGGGAAACCCAGUGUGAUUCGUCACACUAUCAUUAACUGAAUCCAUAGGUUAAUGAGGCGAACCGGGGGAACUGAAACAUCUAAGUACCCCGAGGAAAAGAAAUCAACCGAGAUUCCCCCAGUAGCGGCGAGCGAACGGGGAGCAGCCCAGAGCCUGAAUCAGUGUGUGUGUUAGUGGAAGCGUCUGGAAAGGCGCGCGAUACAGGGUGACAGCCCCGUACACAAAAAUGCACAUGCUGUGAGCUCGAUGAGUAGGGCGGGACACGUGGUAUCCUGUCUGAAUAUGGGGGGACCAUCCUCCAAGGCUAAAUACUCCUGACUGACCGAUAGUGAACCAGUACCGUGAGGGAAAGGCGAAAAGAACCCCGGCGAGGGGAGUGAAAAAGAACCUGAAACCGUGUACGUACAAGCAGUGGGAGCACAGAGCAAUCUGUGUGACUGCGUACCUUUUGUAUAAUGGGUCAGCGACUUAUAUUCUGUAGCAAGGUUAACCGAAUAGGGGAGCCGAAGGGAAACCGAGUCUUAACUGGGCGUUAAGUUGCAGGGUAUAGACCCGAAACCCGGUGAUCUAGCCAUGGGCAGGUUGAAGGUUGGGUAACACUAACUGGAGGACCGAACCGACUAAUGUUGAAAAAUUAGCGGAUGACUUGUGGCUGGGGGUGAAAGGCCAAUCAAACCGGGAGAUAGCUGGUUCUCCCCGAAAGCUAUUUAGGUAGCGCCUCGUGAAUUCAUCUCCGGGGGUAGAGCACUGUUUCGGCAAGGGGGUCAUCCCGACUUACCAACCCGAUGCAAACUGCGAAUACCGGAGAAUGUUAUCACGGGAGACACACGGCGGGUGCUAACGUCCGUCGUGAAGAGGGAAACAACCCAGACCGCCAGCUAAGGUCCCAAAGUCAUGGUUAAGUGGGAAACGAUGUGGGAAGGCCCAGACAGCCAGGAUGUUGGCUUAGAAGCAGCCAUCAUUUAAAGAAAGCGUAAUAGCUCACUGGUCGAGUCGGCCUGCGCGGAAGAUGUAACGGGGCUAAACCAUGCACCGAAGCUGCGGCAGCGACGCUGAUGCGUUGUUGGGUAGGGGAGCGUUCUGUAAGCCUGUGAAGGUGUGCUGUGAGGCAUGCUGGAGGUAUCAGAAGUGCGAAUGCUGACAUAAGUAACGAUAAAGCGGGUGAAAAGCCCGCUCGCCGGAAGACCAAGGGUUCCUGUCCAACGUUAAUCGGGGCAGGGUGAGUCGACCCCUAAGGCGAGGCCGAAAGGCGUAGUCGAUGGGAAACAGGUUAAUAUUCCUGUACU
rnacentral:rRNA from 1 species